rnacentral:rRNA from 1 species
AUUGAACGCUGGCGGCAGGCCUAACACAUGCAAGUCGAGCGGAGCGGCGGACGGGUGAGUAAUGCCUAGGAAUCUGCCUGGUAGUGGGGGAUAACGUCCGGAACCGGGCGCUAAUACCGCAUACUAUCAGAUGAGCCUAGGUUGGAUUAGCUAGUUGGUGGGGUAAUGGCCUACCAAGGCGACGAUCCGUAACCGGUCUGAGAGGAUGAUCAGUCACACGGGAACUGAGAAACGGGCCAGACUCCUACGGGAGGCAGCAGUGGGGAAUAUUGGACAAUGGGCGAAAGCCUGAUCCAGCCAUGCCGCGGGUGUGAAGAAGGUUUUCGGAUUGUAAAGCACUUUAAGUUGGGAGGCGUUACCAACAGAAUAAGCACCGGCUAACUUCGUGCCAGCAGCCGCGGUAAUUC